GUGGAGUGAGGGCGGACCGGCCCUGGUGGGGGCCGCAGUCGAGGUCCGCAGUCUCCUCGGGGUCGAAAUCGGGCAUCAGCGCCGUUUAGAGAACACCGUCCUGCUGGGCAUGGCCGGGAUGCGAAGAUGGCCCUGCAACGCACCUCCUAGAAUUUGGUUACCUAGAAAACCAUGUGGAAUAAAACGACGAGGCUUAUGAUAUUUAAAAGACUUCUGCAUCGAAUUGGUGUUAUCAUAAGGGUUAUUUUAAUAACUGGCAUUCUCUAAGUUUCUACACGUGUUGGGGGAUGCAGUGCCGUGCCACAUUUCCCGUCUCCAGCAAGCGCAGUCAGAUUGGCGACAUCGCAGGCAAGAGGCAGGGCUGGGGCUCCCACCCGAGAAGUAAUUGUCUCCAAAGUUGGACUUUUGCCACUGGUUCUGCGACUUCAUGCAAUGCCAGGGAGAGCCCCUUGAUUUCCCCCAAAUCCUCAUCAGCCUCUUUCCACCCAAGCCCAGAUGAACAGUGAAUCAUCCCCCAGAGUUCCAUUCCAAUUGAUUUAGAUCCCUGAGGCUAAUUUUGACCAAAAUGGAAGGAGAAGCAGAAGGUGUGGAAACCCAUGGCUUUCUGCACAACAGAUACACAUGAUGAGAAGUCUGUAUUCUCUUACACACAUAUACACACACACACACACACACAACCAGUGUUCAUAUCGCCUUCCACUGAAGCUCAUACCAGUUCCUCUAGCCAAGUUGUCAUGGCAACACCAGCUGCCAAUGAGAUCAUGGAAGACAAGGUCAUAAUGGCAAUGGUGCCUUAAUAUUUUACCUGGCAAAGCCACUUAGUUAUUAAGAUGAAUAACCAUAAGUCAUAAACUCAUAGGAAGCUAGGCACCAUUCAUGUACAUGUUUAGUGUACAAUUGGGGGUGGGGAAUGGAAAUGACAGCGAAGGGAAAGGAACAAAAAGGAAGAGAGGAUGAGGCAGAGAGCGGAGAAGAAGGUCUCUGAUGCUGAUCCUUAUUUUUCAGUGUGGACCAUGCACAGGUGCUGACCCUACCUGUACAUGGAUUAAGGAACUGGGCUCUUCCUAAUGACAAGAAGUGGGGGGCGGGUCAUGGGAUCCCAGCCUCAAUCACAAAAGCCUUAUCAGAAACCCAAGGCGACUGCUUUCUGGCAUUCACUCCUAGCAGAAGAGAGCAGCAGCACAGGGAAGAGGAGAAGGGCCACCUACACAGGCGGGAGAGGGAUGCAGACGCAAGGUGAGAACUGGGAUAGAGAGUCAGAAGGCCCACAUUCAGCUCUGAGGCAUCUUCAGAAAAGACACUUUACCUCCGUGAGCCUCAGUUUCCCCUCUACAGAGGAGCAUAACUGUACACUCAUCUACUCACCUGAGGAUUAUGAGGAUUAUGAGUUUUAUGGAGCAAAAUUUGCCUAGAACA
rnacentral:lncRNA from 10 species